rnacentral:pre_miRNA from 1 species
CUUGUACUCCCUCCGUCUGAAAAUACUUGUCAUUGAAAUGGAUGUAUCUAGAUGUAUUUUAGUUCUAGACACAUCCAUUUUGAUGACAAGUAAUUCCGGACGGAGUGAGUACUUG